GUAACGGCGAGCGAAGCGGGAACAGCUCGAGCAGGCAAUCUCUGGUGUCGAUCGCCAGCGAAUUGUGGCCAGCAAAGGCGGGUGCAUCCGAAGCGACUCCGUCGAAGUUGACCUGGAAAGGCACGUCGGAGAGGGUGAUAGCCCCGUGCGGGGCGGAGUCGCCGAGGGCCGCUACCGUCUUCNGAGAGUCGGGUUGUUUGGGAGUGCAGCCCAAAGUGGGUGGUAAACUCCAUCUAAAGCCUAAUAACGGGACGAGACCGAUAGCGAACAAGUACCAUGAGGGAAAGGUGAAAAGCACUUUGGAAAGAGAGUUAAAGAGGCCGCGAAACCGUUGGGAGGGAAACGCAUGCAGCCGGACCGGCCCGCGUCGAGUUCAGGGGGCUGCCGGAGGUCGCGCGUACGGUCGGGACCGUCUCGGGUCGACCGCGCGUCUCGGCACUCGGCACCCCUGCACUCUCGGCGUCUCGGGCCGGACAAGCACGGCGGGCAUCGGGCGAUGAGCGUCCGUCNGGCAUGUAGCGCANCUGCCUGGNGGAGGCGAACUUUUAUAGCCGACCGNGNNNAGCGNNNNAAGCCCACCGAGGAGAGCGGUGGCACUUCCACCCCCACAGCGCAGGCCGCCUCGGCGGAAGGGGCGCUCUCGUCCGUUCGACCACCGACCCGCGUCACUGCGAGAUCGUCUACUCCUUGCGCUCCGGCCGCUUAGCUAGACGUCGGCAGCAUUCGA
rnacentral:rRNA from 1 species